CGACCCAUGGGACCUCUCGAUCUUCUCUGUCCUGAGGAAAGUUUGAUUCCUCUUCGGCUAUUAGAGAGUUUUUCAAAGAUGAAACUAAAAUUACAAGUCCCGAAAACAUGAAAAGAUAUUCCAUGGUGGUGAAAGGCUUAGCUUCUGCUCACAGAGGAAUAAAGGGUUAUCCAUGGCGGAAGGCUGGGAUUCUAUACUCUCUUCAGGGACAAAGCCUAAUGUUUUUCAAAUUAGUGCAAAGUGGACUGGUGACCUUGUUGGACACGCCUCGACAGGAUAUCGGAGCAAAACAUGGUUAAACCUUUGCGGGAAAAACAAGGUUCGAUAUCGUUUUCAACUUCUUUAAAAUACCAAAUACUUGUUUUUGUUUAUUUAUGUUUAUCAAAUUUACAACAAUUUUCUAAUUGUGAACUUACCAUUCAACAAUAGAAUUGAAUAUAAUUCUUUUUAUUAGAAUGGCUAGAUUCAUAAAAUCAUAGAGAAAAUAAUUUAGGUGGACAAAUAGCAAAGUUGUUAGCUAUAAUAUAAGUUGGGAUAAUUUGUAACGUGGGUUGAGAAAAAGUGAAAUAAUUGGGAGAUUAUUGGGACCUACAUUCUUUUUGGAAGGUAAAAGAUAUAUGAUAGAGAAAUAUUUUAAGAGAAAAAUAGAA